rnacentral:rRNA from 1 species
CAUGUCCUUUUGAUUUUAAUUUAAGGUCUGAUCUGCUCAAUGAUGAUUUAAAUUGCCGCAGUAUUUUGACUGUGCAAAGGUAGCAUAAUAAUUAGCUUCUUGAUUAGAAGCUGGAAUGAAUGAUUGGACGAGAAAAUUUCUGUCUCUAUUUAAUUGUUUGUUGAAUUUUAUUUUUAAGUUAAAAAGCUUAAAUGUGUGUAAAAGACGAGAAGACCCUAUAGAGUUUAAUAUUUAAGUCUUAUUUUAUAUUAGGAUUUUUUUUGAGAUUUGAGUAUUUAAUUGGGGUGAUUUAAAGAUUUAGAUAAUUCUUUAAUUUUUUAAUUGAUGAUAAUUAAAUUAUAAACCCAUAGUUUUAAAUUUAAAAUAAAUUACCUUAGGGAUAACAGCGUAAUUUUUCUUUAAAGUUCUUAUUAAAAGAAGAUUUUGCGACCCCGAUGUUGGAUUAAAAUUAAUUUUUGGUGCAGUAACUUAAAAAUUGGGUCUGUUCGACCCUUAAAAUUUUACAUGAUCUGAGUUUAAACCGGUGUAAGCCAGGUUGGAUUCUAUCUUUAAAUGGAUUGUAUAUUUUAGUACGAAAGGACCAAAUAUGUAUUAUAUUA